GUAUUACUCCCUUCGUUCAGAAUUACUCGUUAUAGAAAUAGAUGUAUCUAGAUGUAUUUUAGUUCUAGAUACAUCUAUUUUUACGACGAGUAAUUUGGAACGGAAGGAGUAGUUG
rfam:Triticum aestivum genome assembly, contig: Triticum_aestivum_CS42_TGACv1_scaffold_485223_6AS